AAACUCAGGGAAAGAGGGACCAAUCGCCCUUUCAGGCCGAAAAACCGUUCGUCGCCUUGGUAGGCCAUCACCCCACCAACAAGCUGAUAGGCCGCGAGCCCAUCCCCAACCGAAAAACUUUCCACCCGCACACCAUGCGGUCACGAGUCAUAUCCGGUAUUAGACCCGGUUUCCCAGGCUUAUCCCGAAGUCAGGGGCAGGUUGCUCACGUGUUACUCACCCGUUCGCCGCUCGAGUACCCCCGAAGGGGCCUUUCCGCUCGACUUGCAAUGUGCUUA
rnacentral:rRNA from 1 species